GUGGGAGGCUGCUCCCCAGCCCUUACCCACUGUCCCGGGCCACCACCCGUGCCCAGGGUGACAUGUCCCAAGGACACGCCGGUCCUCGCUCACCUGUAUCAGCCGCGGGGGCAAAGAGCUGCUCUGAGCCCACAGACGCCUGGGGAGAGAAGAGGUUCAGGGCCAGGGCUGGGGUGAGCUAGGCCCUCAAAGCCCCUCCCCACCAACAAGUCCCAGGUGGCCCAGCGUCUGGCCAGGUGACCGCUGUGAGGCAGGAGCCCACCAUGUGACAGCACGUGGCAGAGAUGUUCUUGUGACAUCCGAGCAACACUGUGCGAGUGCACCAGUGUCCGUGGAUUGUGACCUGGGCUCCGGAGGACCCUGCAGCAGCUCUGGAGGACAAGCUCAGUGACAGUGGCCCCAGAUGGCUCUUUUCCGUCUAGUUUCCUUUCUGUCAAGCAGCUGCAUUGAGGCAUGGGCUGCACAUGUCCCCUCAGAAUCCACCCGGAGAGCCCCGCUCCUAAGGUGACGGUGCUGGGCCCUGGGAGGUGGGUAGGUCGAGGCCAGAGGCCUGGAGUUUGCUGUCCCAGCCCCGGACGCAGCGAGCAGCAGCGUGCCAAACACCAGCUCUUUGGAGCCUCCGGCUUCUUCUCCCACUCCCACUCCGGACAGCAAGAACAAGCUGUUGCCAGUCCCCAGCACGCCAUCAUGGCAGCCCCAGCAGACCAAGGCCCAGAGACGUGGUUCCCGCUACCACGGAGCCACCGCCCACGCAGACUCAACUCAGAGACUUAGGGGCCUCACAGAGCAGCACACCCAUCACCACAGCAGCCACAGGGCCUCUUCAUCACCCCAGAGAGACCCUGGCUGUCCAGCUUCCAUCCCAGGCCCCCGGCACUGGGUCUCCGUGCAUCACGUCACAGGCCUUGUGGGGACGGCUCUGGCACUGAGUUCUGCCCCGUGGCAGGGAGCCUGGAUGGGGGCAUCUCACAGUACCUGUGGGUGGAUGUGCACACAUCUGUAUACGUGUCUGCAGGUGUGCAGACACUCACGCUUACCCACGUGUGCUUAUGCAUUUUCAUACACCCAUGUUCAUGUGCCUGUGUGUACACAGAUAACAGGAGACCACGCGUGAUACGUGCAUGUGUGUGGCUGUGUACAAGACACCUAGGUACACAAAGUGACAUCUGUGCGUGUACCUGUGUCUAGGCCAGCAAGCCUUAGGGACAGCGUGGAGGACACGUGCCCAGCUGGGGAAAGAUGGGGCUGGGGCCUCAGAGACUCAGCCUCACCUCUCCUGAGUCUUUCACAGGAGACAAGCCAGUGACCACUCUCGUGGAUCAAACCGUGACAACAAAAGUACUACACGGAUGGAGAGGGACAGCAAGGUCUGCCCUGCAUGUGGGUGUUGGGGGCACGAGGGGCAUGAGGGCACUCCUUGCCCCAAUUCAGAGGAGGGCACUUCGCCCAGGAGCCGCACAUAAAGGUUCAUGCCGGCCAUGCCGUGGGGCAGUGCCAAUCCCAUCCCGGCCGGGCAGGAUGGCUCUCCAUGCCCGAGGGAGCCCAGGGCCCUGCUCUGCCCAAGGCAUGCAGGGACAGUGGCACAGCAGGGUCUCUGGCCUUUGGCAUCUACCAGAGGCAGAGCAGGGUGCCCAGCUGCACCAUGGGCCACCUUGGCAUGGCCAGGAGGGGCUGUGGACACGCGCAGCACACUGGCCUCCAGAAGCCGGGCCCCACCCAUGGGUGUCACAGGCCCAUCCAAUGGGGCAUCUCACAGUCUGGGAGCUACAGUGCAGAAGAAAGCAAUGAGACAUGGCUACCAGGUCUGCAGGGGAGGCGAGCAGAACAGAAAAGGAGGCUCCAAAGUCCACCUGGGUCCAGGCUAGGCCUCAGCAUGAGGUGGGCACAGAGGUGUGUGUGUAGGUUGUCCAUUCCACGGGGUGAGAAGCAGCUUGAUGCUCAGGAAAAGGUUAAGUGAGCUAGGCGAUGUGGCCCUUGCCUGGAAAUCCCAGCUACUUGGGAGGCUGAGGCAGGAGGACCUCAGGUUUGAGGCCGCCUUGGCAACUCCAGCCAGACCCUGUCUCAAAAUAAAAAGAAGGGCUGGGAUGUAGCUCAGUGGUAUAGCACCUGUGGCUUCUACCCUCAGUACUAUACACAGAACAGGUGAAGUGAGAGUCCCGAUUCUCCCCCCACAUCAACCAUCAACCAUCCAGACAGGGCAGACACAAAAGAAAUGCAGCAUUGUGACCAGAUGCUUUACCGCCUGCUGGGACAGGGCACACACAGCCCUAGGAGAGCUGGGACCUGCAGGACACGGAAACGGCUGCUUCCUGCUUUCUUAAGACUGCUGCGCACCGACCAUGAGGCCCGUGCUCAGGGCCCCAGCACCCUCAGCACCCCCCGCACAGGCCCCUGGGUUCCAGCCUUACCUGCGGGCUCUUGUGGGCGAGGGGUCUGCCCGGCCAGGGUAGGUGGGCAGGGGCCGCAGCUCACCCUCCAGCUCUGAACUCGGGGUGUGACCUCUGUCAGGGAGGGGCUUCUGCUUCAGAGCAGCUUGGGUCCUGGCCCUUUCAGGGGUCCCAGAUAGUGGCACCAAGGCCCAGCAGUCCCUGAGUCGUGUCAUGCACAGGCAAGGGUGUCCACACGACACCCCAAGAAGGGAAGCUCCAGCAGCUGGAGAGCUGCCUGCCAGGGAUAGCUGCCCCAGGGCGUCCCUGCAGCCUCAGAGGCUGACCUUCCUGUGGUCCCUGGAGGCUGUGGUCAUCCCUGGGGCAGGCCUGGGUACUUGAGUGACAGCUCCUGUCUCUUAAAUCCUUAGAACCGAGUCAGGGCAGCUGCGCCCACUGAGAACCUCCCAGGGCCUGGACUAAAGACUCUGGGUGGCUGUGGCCCCACCCCAGGGAUCCUACACUCAGGGCUGUCAUGGUUCCCACUGGGGCCCUGACUUAUCCCUCCUGGCCGGGAGGCCACCCACCCCUUCCUCGGCCCAGCUGCCUCCUCCUCCGCAGCUGGGCAGCAGCCCUGGGUGGGGGUGCAGGAGGACAGCGGGGUGCUGUGGCCAGCAGCUGCAUGUGCUCACGAGCCUGGCGUGUGGGGGUCUGGGUAUGUGGCCGCCUCUGCCAGGAGUUCUGGGCUAACUGCCCAAGUGCCUCGGGUCCCAGCAGCACACAGCCAUCGCUCCCAGCACGGAGGGGGCGACGGAGAAGCGUGCGGUCCGGGGAGCCAGCCCUGGCCAGGUGCAGGGGCUGCGGGCUCCCCGUACCUCGUCCAGGUCCCACACAGGGGAUCCAAGCUCAACUUCUCAGGUGGAGCAGUGGGUGUCCAGGACCCGCACAUGGCGCCCCCUGACUCGAGGGAGGCCAAAGGGGUGGCCAGGAGAGGCAGGGUCCCCCACCCAGUUCUCCGAGGCCCCGCCCCCGCCCCGCCCACGGCAGAGGCCGCGCCGGACCGGUGCCCGCAGGGGUCCGGGCGGGACCUGGCCGGCUCCGAGCCACGCGGCUGGACACUGGGUCACUGUCGGGGAAGCUCCCAGGUAGCAGCCCCGUCCCGGCACAGGCACAGAGGCGCCCUCGCCCUCCCCGGCCCGCCUGGCAACUUCCCCGCCUUCACAGGCGCCGGACGGUCGCGGGCGGGGGUCCCGGCGCUUUGUCUUCGAGGCGCCGAACGCAGCCGCCCUGCGCCGGACAAAGAACUCAACUCCGCAGGAGGCCUGCUGCUCCUCUGAAGACCCUGCAGCUCACCCUACAGACCUCCACCAGGCCAGAGAGGCUGCCAAGGGAAGGACGGGGGCCUCCUAAGACCCCUAGGAAGAUGCUCAAGGCAACGUCACACACAGGAAAACCUUGCAAGCAGCAGGAAUGGAAGUGGCUGGGCCACUCCUUGUGGGGUGGCUGAGGAGAGCAGGUACCCGACACCCCGCUGGCAGGGUGGGGUUCUCCAGGACCCUGCAGUGGGCCAGCUGCCCAGGGGAUGAGGUCACAUGACAGGAGACCGGCCCUGGCUGCUGCAUCCACCCGUCCGAGUCUCUGUCCAUGGCCCGUGCAGUUCUCAGCAACAGGAGACUCGGAGGUGGCCCCAGGAGCCCUGCUUCAGAGCGAAGAAGAUGGGGUCCACAGCCCCCAGAGAGCAGGGCACCAGGGAGGGUUGGGGCUGCUGCAGGCCCCCGGCUGGCUGGCACCCCCAGUGGCCGGGUAUGCACACCCACUCUGGUGCCCUAACCCUCCUGCCAGCUCCACAGGGUCCCCUCACACAGUGCCCGAGGCCAAGGGACCCUAGAACUGUGGAGCUGGACCUGUGCUGCUGUCCCACAGCAGGACCUUGGCAGAGUCCCGGGGCACUCUUCCAGGGCCACCCUGUCCCAGCCCCUGGCUGAGCUCAGGCACCUCCUGUGAGUGUCCAGGCUGCAGGCAGAUCACGCCCCAGAGGCAGCUGUGGCCACGGGCAAUGGAGAGGCCACCUGGUCAGGCAUCAGCAGGCAGCCAGGCCCCGGCUGCUGGGGGAGCCCGCGCACCACUGCCUCCCAUAAUUUCCAGUGAAAAAGCAGUUAGACACCGACUGCAGCCUUGGGGAGGGCCUUUUGGUGGUGUCCUGCAGCCCG
ensembl:lncRNA